AGAGGCAGGGCCAAGAAUUGCAUAAGAAUUGCCAGAGAGCGGGUGGAGAAGGCUCUCCAAUAUUCAUACCGGGACCGUCGUAAUAAGAAGCGAGACAUGCGCUCCCUUUGGAUACAACGAAUCAAUGCUGGCACGCGCCUUCAUGGGGUAAACUAUGGCAAUUUUAUGCAUGGGCUGAUGAAGGAGAACGUCCAACUAAAUAGAAAAGUAUUAUCAGAGCUCUCAAUGCACGAGCCUUACAGUUUCAAGGCCCUGGUAGACAUCUCUCGUAAUGCAUUUCCUGGAAACAAGAAUGUAGUGUUUCCCCCCAAGAAGGAUGCUGCCUCCAUGAUUGUUUAAUGGAUCGUUUACGAGUCCUCUAGAUCUCCAGUUAUAUAGAA
rnacentral:misc_RNA from 1 species